AUACGUAGGGUGCGAGCGUUGUCCGGAAUUACUGGGCGUAAAGAGCUCGUAGGUGGUUUGUCGCGUCGUCUGUGAAAUUCCGGGGCUUAACUCCGGGCGUGCAGGCGAUACGGGCAUAACUUGAGUACUGUAGGGGAGACUGGAAUUCCUGGCGUAGCGGUGAAAUGCGCAGAUAUCAGGAGGAACACCGGUGGCGAAGGCGGGUCUCUGGGCAGUAACUGACGCUGAGGAGCGAAAGCAUGGGUAGCGAACAUGAUUAGAUACCCUGGUAGUCCAUGCCGUAAACGGUGGGCGCUAGGUGUAGGGGUCUUCCACGACUUCUGUGCCGUAGCUAACGCAUUAAGCGCCCCGCCUGGGGAGUACGGCCGCAAGGCUAAAACUCAAAUGAAUUGACGGGG
rnacentral:rRNA from 1 species